UACGGAGGGUGCAAGCGUUAUCCGGAUUUACUGGGUUUAAAGGGUGUGUAGGCGGACUUUUAAGUCAGCGGUGAAAUCUCCGGGCUCAACCCGGAAACUGCCAUUGAUACUAUUUAUCUUGAAUUCUGUUGAGGUGGGCGGAAUACAUCAUGUAGCGGUGAAAUGCUUAGAUAUGAUGUAGAACACCGAUUGCGAAGGCAGCUCACUAAACAGACAUUGACGCUGAGGCACGAAAGCGUGGGGAUCAAACAGG
rnacentral:rRNA from 1 species